GCCCAUGUUCUCCCAAAGCAAAGAUCAAAGAAGGGGAGAGAUAGCAAUAUGAGGAGCAAUGAGAAGUAAGUUUUAUUAUCACUUAUACAUUUUUUACCAUCACUAUCAUUUACUCCACCACACAUGCACAUCUUGAUUUAAUUAUAUGCUGAGUUCCUUUGGAUCCAUAGCUCGAUUAGACAACAUAUGUAUGAGUUGUUUUUCACUCCUAUGAGCUCCACUUAAAUAUUCCAUUAGCUAUAGGU
rnacentral:lncRNA from 1 species